UGAGUAGGGGGCCUGCAGUGUGCUGUGACGCCUGGGAAGGGGAUUCUAAGCCAUUUCCCAUCAGCCGUUUACUAAGUAGCCUGGGGAUCUUGUUAAAAUGCAGAUCCUGAUAGAUUAGGGCUGGGGUGCUGCCCAAGAUUCUACAUUUCUAAGAGUCCCUGGAUGACGGUGGCAUUCACAGACCACAGCUUCUAUGUGAGGGAGAGCAGUUGGGUUUCUGUCUGCCUGCCGCACCUGAUCAGUAGUUAGUGCCUGCAUGUGUGGCGGCCAGAAUUUUACUUGGGGAGACGCUCGGCUCCUAGCACCCUCUGUGGUAGGGGUUUUCCAGAGUGUGGGCAUUACCCCAACUGUCUCUGCAGACGGCUUCCUGCAUGUUUCCCACAAGCGCUCAGAUGGCUGAAUUGGCAAGUCUGUGGUGCUGCUCUUUGGGGCCACCUCGUUCUUUGCCUUUCCCUCCCCUUAGCGAUGUGUCCCAUCCGUUGCCUACAGUCAAGUCAGUCCACAUGUUUAGGCUAAGGUGGGCAUGACCGAGUGGCCUUCCCCCGGGAAGACCAGUGUCGUAACUGGAAUUAAGUUGUGGAACAUAAGAGUCAAGGCUCGUGUCUGCUGUGAACUGGAGUUGAGGGAAUGUUUGGGGAUCCCACCUGGUAUCAGUAAGGGAACCAUGGCGACGGCCAGCCUUGCCCAUGUGAGGCAUUUGCUUUGUCAGGCCUUCUCAGUAGUGGAGAAGGGAGGAAGGAGAAUGCAGCUCUUUCAGUGCUGUCUAGCAGUGCCCAAGAGCCGUGAUUGGGCACCUCACUUAACGUCUAACUUCAGAUUCACUCUUGGGCAUUCCUGUCUUCCUCUCCAAUCUUGAAUGGAUGUUGGCUUCGAUAAUGUCAUCCUGAAGUUUCUUUGUCCACACAGCCCUGGCUGGUUGUUAAUAAGCUGUUAAUGCAGCCUUGCACUCAGGAAGCCCUGAUGUUUAAAGGAACUGUGUCUUUGUUCUUCCUCUCUUCCCUCUUUCUCUUAGUCCCACUUUAUCUCUUCUUUCUCUUCCUCUCCCUCCUCCUUUUCCCCUCUCCCUCCUACUCUCCCCCUUUCUCUCCUCCUUCUCUAAGAAACCCAGUCUUAAUUCCACACAAUGCAUGCACAUGCAGUAGCUUCUCUGCUUGAGUGAGCUGGUGUGAUUAGGUUUUCUAAACAUGCACAUUGGCCUUGCUACUUGUCCUUUUAUUCCCUUCCCACAGACCAUAAACCAAGAAUUAUUUUUAUUUGUAUUAUUUUGAUUUUUUUAAAGUAAAAUAUUAACUUUUCCUCUUUGAAAUAAAUUCCCAUUUGGAACAUCAAAAAAAAAAAAAAAAAA
rnacentral:lncRNA from 1 species